rnacentral:rRNA from 1 species
AGAGUUUGAUCCUGGCUCAGGAUGAACGCUAAGGCUUAACACAUGCAAGUCGACGGCAGCGGACCUUCGGGUGCCGGCGUGUGGCGAACGGGUGAGUAAUAUAUCGGAACGUGCCUUUCAGUGGGGGAUAACGUAGCGAAAGUUACGCUAAUACCGCAUAUUCUCUGAGGAGGAAAGCAGGGGACCUUCGGGCCUUGCGCUGAUAGAGCGGCCGAUAUCAGAUUAGCUAGUUGGUGGGGUAAAGGCCUACCAAGGCGACGAUCUGUAGCGGGUCUGAGAGGAUGAUCCGCCACACUGGGACUGAGACACGGCCCAGACUCCUACGGGAGGCAGCAGUGGGGAAUUUUGGACAAUGGGCGAAAGCCUGAUCCAGCCAUGCCGCGUGAGUGAAGAAGGCCUUCGGGUUGUAGAGCUCUUUCGGCCGGGAAGAAAUCGCACAGGCUAAUACCUUGUGUGGAUGACGGUACCGGAAUAAGAAGCACCGGCUAACUACGUGCCAGCAGCCGCGGUAAUACGUAGGGUGCGAGCGUUAAUCGGAAUUACUGGGCGUAAAGCGUGCGCAGGCGGUUUGGUAAGACAGGCGUGAAAUCCCCGGGCUCAACCUGGGAACUGCGCUUGUGACUGCCUCACUAGAGUACGGCAGAGGGGGGUGGAAUUCCACGUGUAGCAGUGAAAUGCGUAGAGAUGUGGAGGAACACCGAUGGCGAAGGCAGCCCCCUGGGCCGAUACUGACGCUCAUGCACGAAAGCGUGGGUAGCAAACAGGAUUAGAUACCCUGGUAGUCCACGCCCUAAACGAUGUCAACUAGUUGUUGGGGGGGUAAAACCCUUUAGUAACGUAGCUAACGCGUGAAGUUGACCGCCUGGGGAGUACGGCCGCAAGGUUAAAACUCAAAGGAAUUGACGGGGACCCGCACAAGCGGUGGAUGAUGUGAUUAUUUCGAUGCAACGCGAAA